CCCAGUUACUGAGCAGAGAGACGGAGUCGAUGCCCAGCUGUAGCGCCGUGGGGUCCCCGAGAGACGGGGGCCGGGGGGGGGCGGCAGAAUGAACCGGCGGCACUUUGGUGGAGUAAUGGCCAUGUGUGCGGAUUCCUCCAGGAGCUGGGCGCGGUGAGGGAGAGGACUUUGCCAACACGCGGUGAACUUCCUUCUCACCCUGCCAAGCCUCCCAGAGACACCAACCUCCACCACAGAAUUCUGUUGCUGCCAGGAAGGGAACAGACACCUGGGGCAAGUGUUCUCCCCAAAACACUGAUCCUCAUUCAACUUUUCCAUGAAUAUCAGAUACGUUCAGAAGGCUUUGGUUGGUGACGGCCCUGAGUUCAGGGGACCUCCCUCAUCCAUCCAGUAGGGUCAGCUCUUGCUCACUGUGGCUGCUUGGUUCCUUCUGGAAGGAGACAAAGCAUCUGCUACGUGCUAGGCACCCCCCCUUUCAUGCACACACACUUUCCAUCUGCCCCAAACCGUGUGCUUCAAGAGAAACCGCAGCCUCUU